CCUACGGGAGGCAGCAGUGAGGAAUAUUGGUCAAUGGGCGCGAGCCUGAACCAGCCAAGUAGCGUGAAGGAUGACUGCCCUACGGGUUGUAAACUUCUUUUAUAAAGGAAUAAAGUGAGGCACGUGUGCCUUUUUGUAUGUACUUUAUGAAUAAGGAUCGGCUAACUCUGUGCCAGCAGCCGCGGUAAUACGGAGGGUCCGAGCGUUAUACGGAUUUAUUGGGUUUAAAGGGAGCGUAGAUGGGUUGUUAAGUCAGUUGUGAAAGUUUGCGGCUCAACCGUAAAAUUGCAAUUGAUACUGGCAGGGUUGAGUACAGUGGAGGUAGGCGGAAGUCGUGGUGUAGCGGUGGAAUGCGUAGAUAUCAGGAGGAACACCAGAGGCGAAGGCGACUUACUGGACUGUAACUGACGCUGAGGCUCGAAAGCGUGGGGAGCAAACAGGAUUAGAUACCCCAGUAGUC
rnacentral:rRNA from 1 species